CAGUAGCCGCGGUAAUACGUAGGGUGCGAGCGUUAAUCGGAAUUACUGGGCGUAAAGCGUGCGUAGGCGGUGAGUUAAGUCUGCUGUGAAAUCCCCGGGCUCAACCUGGGAAUGGCAGUGGAUACUGGCUCGCUAGAGUGUGUCAGAGGAUGGUGGAAUUCCCGGUGUAGCGGUGAAAUGCGUAGAGAUCGGGAGGAACAUCAGUGGCGAAGGCGGCCAUCUGGGACAACACUGACGCUGAGGCACGAAAGCGUGGGGAGCAAACAGGAUUAGAUACCCCAGUAGUCCCUGUCUCUUAUAC
rnacentral:rRNA from 1 species